UACGUAGGGUGCAAGCGUUAAUCGGAAUUACUGGGCGUAAAGCGUGCGCAGGCGGUGAUGUAAGACAGGUGUGAAAUCCCCCGGGCUUAACCUGGGAACUGCAUUUGUGACUGCAUCGCUGGAGUGCGGCAGAGGGGGAUGGAAUUCCGCGUGUAGCAGUGAAAUGCGUAGAUAUGCGGAGGAACACCGAUGGCGAAGGCAAUCCCCUGGGCCUGCACUGACGCUCAUGCACGAAAGCGUGGGAGCAAACAGG
rnacentral:rRNA from 1 species